rnacentral:rRNA from 1 species
UACGUAGGGGGCAAGCGUUAUCCGGAUUUACUGGGUGCAAAGGGAGCGUAGACGGCACUGCAAGUCUGGAGUGAAAGCCCGUGGCCCAACCACGGGACUGCUCUGGAAACUGUGUUGCUGGAGUGCAGGAGGGGUAAGCGGAAUUCCUAGUGUAGCGGUGAAAUGCGUAGAUAUUAGGAGGAACACCGGUGGCGAAGGCGGCUUACUGGACUGUAACUGACGUUGAGGCUCGAAGGCGUGGGGAGCAAACAGG